rnacentral:rRNA from 1 species
GUAGGUGGCAAGCGUUGUCCGGGAAUUAUUGGGGCGUAAAGCGCGCGCAGGCGGUUCUUUAAGUCUGAUGUGAAAGCCCACGGGCUCAACCGUGGAGGGUCAUUGGAAACUGGAGAACUUGAGUACAGAAGAGGAAAGCGGAAUUCCACGUGUAGCGGUGAAAUGCGUAGAGAUGUGGAGGAACACCAGUGGCGAAGGCGGCUUUCUAGUCUGUAACUGACGCUGAGGCGCGAAAGCGUGGGGAGCAAACAGGAUUAGAUACCCUGGUAGUCCACGCCGUAAACGAUGAGUGCUAAGUGUUAGGGGGUUUCCGCCCCUUAGUGCUGCAGCUAACGCAUUAAGCACUCCGCCUGGGGAGUACGGCCGCAAAGGCUGA